CAAGUCGAGCGAGAAGACGUAGCAAUACGUUUGUAAAGCGGCGAACGGGUGAGGAAUACAUGGGUAACCUACCCUCGAGUGGGGAAUAACUAGCCGAAAGGUUAGCUAAUACCGCGUACGCUUCUUGGACUUCGGUUCAGGGAGGAAAGCGAGGCCGUGGGUCUCGCGCUCUUGGAUGGGCUCAUGUCCUAUCAGCUUGUUGGUGAGGUAACGGCUCACCAAGGCUUCGACGGGUAGCUGGUCUGAGAGGACGAUCAGCCACACUGGCACUGCGACACGGGCCAGACCCCUACGGGAGGCAGCAGUAAGGAAUAUUGCGCAAUGGGCGAAAGCCUGACGCAGCGACGCCGCGUGGGGGAUGAAGGUCUUCGGAUUGUAAACCCCUUUCGGGAGGGAAGAUGGAAUGGGGUAACCCAUUCGGACGGUACCUCCAGAAGCAGCCACGGCUAACUUCGUGCCAGCAGCCGCGGUAAUACGAAGGUGGCAAGCGUUGUUCGGAUUUACUGGGCGUACAGGGAGCGUAGGCGGUUCGGUAAGCCCUCUGUGAAAUCUCCAGGCUUAACCUGGAACAGUCGGAGGGGACUGCCGGGCUAGAGGACGGGAGAGGAGCGCGGAAUUCCCGGUGUAGCGGUGAAAUGCGUAGAGAUCGGGAGGAAGGCCGGUGGCGAAGGCGGCGCUCUGGAACGUUUCUGACGCUGAGGCUCGAAAGCGUGGGGAGCAAACAGGAUUAGAUACCCUGGUAGUCCACGCCUUAAACUAUGAAUACUAAGUGUCGGCGGGUUACCGCCGGUGCCGCAGCUAACGCAUUAAGUAUUCCGCCUGGGAAGUACGGCCGCAAGGUUGAAACU
rnacentral:rRNA from 1 species